CUGAGGUGGAUAAAGAUGGGCACGCGCAAGAUUAGAUAGUUGGUGAGGUAACGGCUCACCAAGUCGAUGAUCUUUAGGGGGCCUGAGAGGGUGAUCCCCCACACUGGUACUGAGACACGGACCAGACUCCUACGGGAGGCAGCAGUGAGGAAUAUUGGACAAUGGGUUAGCGCCUGAUCCAGCCAUCCCGCGUGAAGGACGACGGCCCUAUGGGUUGUAAACUUCUUUUGUACAGGGAUAAACCUACCCUCGUGAGGGUAGCUGAAGGUACUGUACGAAUAAGCACCGGCUAACUCCGUGCCAGCNGCCGCGGUAAUACGGAGGGUGCAAGCGUUAUCCGGAUUUAUUGGGUUUAAAGGGUCCGUAGGCGGAUGCGUAAGUCAGUGGUGAAAUCUCACAGCUCAACUGUGAAACUGCCAUUGAUACUGCGUGUCUUGAGUGAGGUUGAAGUAGCUGGAAUAAGUAGUGUAGCGGUGAAAUGCAUAGAUAUUACUUAGAACACCAAUUGCGAAGGCAGGUUACUAAGUCUCAACUGACGCUGAUGGACGAAAGCGUGGGGAGCGAACAGGAUUAGAUACCCUGGUAGUCCACGCUGUAAACGAUGCUAACUCGUUUUUGGGGAUUUAUCUUCAGAGACUAAGCGAAAGUGAUAAGUUAGCCACCUG
rnacentral:rRNA from 1 species